rnacentral:lncRNA from 1 species
ACAUGGCUAUGAUUGGUUAUAUGAGUUUGUGAAAUUACAAACCUAAUUUCUGGGUGGUGUCAAAGAUGGGAUUACCUGAAACGGAUUCCCACGUUGCUUUGUGAUUUGGUGAUUAUGGUUCUUGACUUCUCUAAGAGAGGAAUAAAAGUGCCACACUCACUAAUGACCAAAUUGGUCAGUUCCACUCAUAUGCCCCCUAUAGCCUCUUUACCAUCUAGCCUUUCCAGAGUUAACCUAUUGUAAAAUUAGAUUGUAAAAAUGGACAGAGUGGCCACCACUCUGGGAUAAGGGUGAAGGACUCAUGGUGUCAUCCCCACUAAAUACUCCAGUGGAAAUUAUCACUUAAUUAUUUGUGAUAUCACCCAGCUCCCCAAAGAGCUGGCCUUCCUUUUCAGCCCCAGUUAUCUUUUGGAAGUGUAACUCUUUCAGUUUGAUUGUCCUGGGAACACAUGCAGUUUUCUCUUGAUGGGGAAACCCCUCUCUGAAGGUCUGCGUUUUAAGUGGCAGAGAUGCAAAAACAGCCUUCUAGACAGAGUUUCUAAUUGAAUUCUCCUCUAUACCGUUAUCCAUAAACUGAGUAAUGCAUCCAAGGAAGAAGAGAGGAUGAGAGAGGUCAGGAAGUUUAGAUUCCAGUAAAAUUUAAAUAGCCACUGAAUUUGCCAUAGCAAAACAUGAGCUAUGAUUCUGUUAGUACACAGGAAAAGUCAAUUAGGUGAACUGAUUUUUUAUGGUGUUGGGAAUAUUAUAAUUCAGGGAUUCUUAACCUAUAGCUUAACCUAUAGGCAAUUUAAGACUAGAUUUCAGGGGUAGGGCAGUGAAACUUCUAAAAUUGCUGUAACAUUUUUUAUUAAGUCAUAGGCAGUUUCCUAGGGAGAGGCUUUUAUCAAAUUCUCAGAAGGGUCCACUGCCAUAAAAGAUUAAGGAACCACUGCAUUCUAUCAUCAUAAUUUUUUGUCUUCUUUCAAAAGUUGAUAUUCUGGUUUUUUUUAUGCAGAAAAGACAAAAGCAUGUACAACUCUGAUAUUUCAUGAUCUUUAAUUUCUUCCCCCUCCUGGAUGUCCUAUAAUAAAUGUACAGGAAAGAAAUAUAAAACGCUAUCCAAACUCAGUUAAUAGCUCUGAGAAAUGCACACUCAGAGUGCUUUAAAAUCAGGUUACAAAUAUCAUUUUCAAUUUGCUGGGGAGAAAAUAGGAAGAGUCCCUUGGAAUACAGAAUAAAUUCAUUCUAUGUACAUUAUCAGUGUUGGUUCAUUAUAUUCUCAUUGGCCCACAACUCAACACAUCUUUAAGAAGCAAAAGUGCAUACACUCUCCCUUACUGACAAUAUUUAGGGGAAGACCACAUACUUUGUGAACUACUGUGAGUUGAGUUCUUGUAGUCAAAGCAGUAGUAGGUGGAGCUUCAUUCUCUGGUAUUAAAAUCCUAAAAGUGAGUAGUGUUAUUAAUUGGGGGCACUUUUGAGAUUUGAUUAAGAAAUUUACUGCUCUUGUGGGUUGUUUCCUCCCUUGUGGGAUGUUCUGGAUGAAUGUCAAGGUCUAGCCCCGGCAGAUUCCAGAAAGCUUGUCCAUCUAAAUUUGCUGUUAAGCCAUGGGAACUUUUCUAUUGCAGUCUUUGGGUCAUGGUAACGUGUAAAGCCUAGAGUUUGUUGAAGGGCACUUUUCUCUCUCUAAAAUUCUCCAUUCCUCACAACUGGUUUUUAUUAUUCCGUGACAUGCUGGGAGUGUUGCUAUGACUGUUUGAGAAGUAUGGGCAGAUAUAUUGCUGGCUGGCUUCUUACAGGAAGAGUUUCCCAUGAUGGGAGUGAGAGACCCCUGGGGCCACCUGGAAACUGCCCACUCUUGUAAGAUGUUGCUCAGCGUUCUUGGGACCCAGGAAUUCACUGCUCCAAAGGCCCUGAGUUCACUUUCAAGGCUUGGUUCUGCAGGGUGUACUCAUGUGUGCACCCUGAGUCUUGAGGAGUAGACAAAGGGCUUUUGUGGAGGAUGAGGAGGGAGAUUGGAUGUGAGCACUGCUGUGUUCAUACGUGUGCUGUGUUCUGAUCCUUGAGAUUUGGAUCAGAGCCAGAGGUGGAAAGAGAAGAGGAUGGGGUGUAGUUGGGGCUGGCCUCCCUAUGCCACUGACUACUUGAGAGGAACAUUGAAGAACUGAAAAUUCUACAAUCGAAGUUGGCUUUCCAGGUUGUUAUAAAGAAGUAUUUGUCAAGACAGGAGGUAUAACAUAUUUCAUUUAAAAGUUUGCUAGCUUGUUUUAUAGCUUUUAAAUAUUUAGACACUUGGACUGGAAUUUGAGAUGUUCCAUCAGUCUGUUUAAUCCUUUAGGUCUGACCAUGAUCUGAGAUGAAGUUUGUUCCUUGGUUUUGCUUUUGCUGGUUUGUGAUCUUGGUUCUCGACUUAGACUUGGAAGGCUGGACAGAGUCAGAGAGAUUGGCAGUGAUAAUCUUUACACGUGCUUUCUCCUUAUGUCAUUUUACAUUUGGAGCAAUCCCUUGAACUCAUAGGAUGAGUAUUGUUAGUUCCAUUUUACAGACAAGAAAAGAAGGCUCAGAGUAGUGAAAUGACUUGCCCUUUGAGUAGUUGAUGUCUAACUCCAAAUAUUUAUUCCACUAUUUUCUCUACUAAUCAUGGUAUUUCUCAUCACCAUUGCUAUGCCUGUGAGUAGAAUUUUUAUCCCUGUUUUCAGAGGGAAAACACUAGGAUUUUAAGAAACUUUUCCCCCUUGAUAAUCCAUCGAUUCAGUAGUUGUGCCAGAUACCAACCAGAGACCUCUUUGUAGGUCACACUCAAUCCCUAACAAGUCUAAAAGAAACAGGGCCAGGCAUGGUGGCUCAUGCCUGUAAUCCUAGCACUUUGGGAGGCUGAGGUGGGUGGAUUGCCUGAGCUCAGGAAUUUGAGACCAGCCUGGGCAACACAGUGAAACCCCAUCUCUACUAAAAUACAAAAAAAUUAGCUGGGUGUAGCAGCGUGCACCUGUAAUCCCGGCUACUUGGAAGGCU